rnacentral:rRNA from 1 species
GAUGAACGCUGGCGGCGUGCUUAACACAUGCAAGUCGAACGAUGAAGCCCAGCUUGCUGGGUGGCUUAGUGGCGAACGGGUGAGUAACACGUGAGUAACCUGCCCUUAACUCUGGGAUAAGCCUGGGAAACUGGGUCUAAUACCGGAUAGGAGCGUCCACCGCAUGGUGGGUGUUGGAAAGAUUUAUCGGUUUUGGAUGGACUAGGGGCCUAUCAGCUUGUUGGUGAGGUAAUGGCUCACCAAGGCGACGGCGGGUAGCCGGCCUGGGAGGGUGACCGGACACACUGGGACUGAGACACGACACAGCCUCCUCCGGUAGGCAGCAGUGGGGAAUAUUGUACAAUGGGCUGAAGCCUGAUGCAGCCACGCCGCGUGGGGGAUGACGGCCUUCCGGUUGUAAACCUCUUUCAGUAGGCAAGAAGCGAUAGUGACGGUACCUGCAGAAGAAGCACCGGCUAACUACGUG